GCAUGCGUGCGGCCCGGGUUCCAUCCUCAGCACCACAUACAAACAAAGAUGUUGUGCCUGCCGAGAACUAAAAGAAUAAAUAUUAAAAUAUUCUCUCUCUCUCUUAAAAAAAGAGAAAUAAGUUUAACUCCUCUUCUUGUUGUGUAGUGUUUUGUAAUGGAGAUGAAAGUUUAAAUAAGUUGAAAUCUUCCUGCAGAAUUUCUCAAGCCCUCCCUUUCUAUUUCCACAUCUGCUCCCCUAGUUCAUUUCCCCUCACUCUAUGUCUGCACGGUGGCUACUUUCAUCCAGACCACCCUCCAUGCCAUUGUCUAUCUUCCCAACAUACUACUGCCUUUAGCACAUGCAUUAUGAGUGGCUAGCCUGUAGUAAUUGCUCAAUAAAUAAUUUUCAUUUGCUUAAAGUAACUCCCCAUUGCCCAAGAGGCAGAGUGACUCUAAACCCUGAAGAUUCAUAAAUCUCUUAGAAGACUGUAGCAUAAUAAAGAAUAUAUUUGAUCUUUUCCCACAUUCCCAGUACAGAGCUCCUACACCCCUUGGAAUUUCCCAGUAGGAGAGCCUAUAAUGCCUAGGAAGAGACUCAGGGUGGGUCUCUACAUGGUUUCGGGAAGGGUGCCAAUUAGCAGGAAAACCAACUAAACACCAGAUUAGAGUGUUAGAAUUUUGGGCCAGCCUGACCUGAGUUAAAAAUCAAAUAAAGGAGAGAAAGGGGCCUAGAGACUGAUUUUCAUCAUGUGGUCAAUGAUGUAUGUGUGUGUGUGUGUGUGUGUGUGUGUAUGAAAUUUCAAUAAAAACUCUGAGGUUCAGUGGAUAUCUCUGAUUAGUUAACUCAGAUUCUAUGGUCCUAAGAAGAUUUUUAGUAAAUCAGUUUUUCAUUAUAGCUACUCUAUACCAAACCAUGCUCUGGUGACUUGAUUUACUUCUAUAGAUUUGAGUAAUAACUACUUAUUACUAUCUCUGUUCUGCUUCCACCCCAAUCAGUUCUGACACUAUCUACCUAGAGUUGGCACAGACUCCAUAAGUUAGGUGUGCCUUGAGAGUGCAUGUAUCCUCAGCACCAGGAGGGUGGGUUCCCUGAGUCCACAGCAUGAGAGUAUGGGACCUCUGUGUCCUCUCCCUGACCUUGCCCUGUGUAUCUCUUUGUUUGGCUUUGUGGGAAAUGGAAAGUAGAGUGGUCCAUCUUCGCAAUGUGGUAUUUAGCCUUAAAUGUAAAAUUGGGAUGUAGAAUCUAUGUGUAGUCAUUUUGAGCUUCCAACCUGUAUCCAAUCGUAGCUUUUUUAACUACAGCUCUUCCCAAUUUUAUAAUUACACAAUCAUGUAGAUUGUAACCCUGAGCUCCUCCUAUCAGAACAAGGGGCAGUGCCUGUUAGGGAUAAAAAGGCGGGCUACUCGCCCAGGUGUGCUUGCUUGCACAUCCUUCUGCAAAAGUAAAGUGUACCUUGCCAAGUAAUUUUUGAGCUUGAUUUCUUUUGGUACUCCAAUGUUUCUAAUACCUCUUUCUUGAAAUAUGUCCUUUAAUGAUAAAGUUAUAAUCAUAAAUAUAGUACUUUCUUGGGUUCAGAAUAUUCAAGUGAAUUAUCAUGGUAACCCCAUGGUGGCCAGUAGGUCAAAAGUAUGAGUGGCCUGGGGACUUCCUAAGACUUGUGACUGUCAUCUGAAGUGAGGGCAAUCUCAUGGAGGUCUAUGAUCCUAAACUUGUGGAGCCUUUGCCAACUCUGGGUAGCUAAUGUUAGAAUUGAAUGGAAUGGAAAUAACAGAGACAGUAUUAAGUAGCUAUUAGAGUAAUCUAUGGAAGUCACCAAAGCAUGGUUUUGUAUAACAGAGCUGUGAUGUGGUGGAAAAAUGAUUUACUAAAGGCCUCCCCGGGACCUCAACACGAUAAUACUUCUUCCUGUAAUCUAGCUCACAAAGGACCUGCUAGGAUGACCUCAGGCUUAGGAAUCAUUCCUAUGAGUCAUUGGAAGACAAGAGGAGUCAAAAUAUUUUGACUAGCCCAGGGCAAGGUAUUUCUGAUGUAUUGUGAUCUAUGUUCUGAAUUCCGUGGGGUCCUGCUAAUGGUUUAUUUUGGCAGAAGAGAAUAGAAGUGGCUUAGUUUCUCUGAAAAACAUUCAACUUAGCCCAACAUCCAAGACUGACUGUUGAGUUGCGAGUAAGUGUUCAUGCUAUACAUAAAGAUUUGAAAUCCUCUGCUCUGUCUGCAUCCUAGAUAGCAAUUCUAAGAAGAGUCAUGUGGCUGGUACGGGAAAUUACACUGCAUGGAGUGCCCUCCCACUAUUUCUUGCUUUCUAAGCUUUUCCCAUUUUGGCAAUAUAAUAACAGCAACAGAGGGGAAAGAAAAGAGAAGUCAUGAGGUACGGAGCACCUACUGCAUACUAGGCAUGGGAUAAAUGCUUCCACUUAUGUUAGCUUAUUUAAUCCCCAUAAUCUUCUAGAAGAAUGGGUAUUAUUAUCACCACUUUGUGGACACUUAAAAGGGAUCAGAAUUCCCUGAGGUCUCAUAGUAAGUUAAAAAAACAAGCAUUAGCACUCAGGGUUGUCUGCAUCUGAAUUUGAACUCCACACUCUUCUUUAUUGUUUACCAGCUUUGGGCCUCACUAGGGUGUGCCCAAGUCACACUCUGAUGAAAACAAGAUUACCUUCCUCACCUCCUUGCCAGGAGCUGCUGGUUAUCCAUCCUUGAGUAAGGCUAGAGUCAGCUGCUAAACCAGUUUUCCCUGAUAAGUCACAGAUUUCCCCUGGCAGGAUAGCACUGAGAUCUUUUUCAGCCUCCUACCUCAAUGUUAUCUCUUUUAGGCAAAUUGGUGCUAAUUGUGGGACAGGCAGGAACAGGCCAUCAUCACAGCCUCCUAGAGGCCUCCUCUGCACAGUUGCCUGCUCACUGCUGCUUACAGAAUCCUCUUCAACCCCCUGACUCAACUUGGUAGUUGUAGGAGUCAGAGCUGACUUUUCUGGCAAGGACCCGUGACAUCACAUCCUCUCUCUUCCACACAGGACCCCCGUGACAUCACAUCCUCUCUCUCCCCCACAGGACCCGAGCAAGAGCUCAAAAUGUGCUGAAAUCACUCAGGGAGGAUAAGGCUGGGCAUCCUGCAUGAUUAAAUGUCUACUUGUCAUUAGUAAGAGGCUCCACCCAGCCUGGUUGGCUGAAGACCUAAUAUUGGGAGCCUGGAGUAUUGAGCCCAGUGUUCUGGGGUGGGUUGGUGGGGGAGGAUUAAAGAAGUACAAUGAGACCUCCACAGUCUCACUCAGCACCAGCAGAGCUGGCAGUCCAGGAUAGUGUGUUACCUGGGCCAAAAUUUUGAAUACCCUGUGGACUGGGACCUGGGUUGGAGACGGGGAGGAGCCAUUGGCCAUUGAACACCUCCAGCCCAACAUAGUCCCUCUCAUUUCCUAAGAGUUCAUGGCAGUUGAUUUCCCAUGGAAACAAGCAGAAAUCUGCUUUAAUCAUUUGGCAUUUUUAGUUUCCUAAUUUGUAUGGGAACCUAGAGAUACAGACAUAUGGUACAUUCAUUAUCCCAGAAAUCUACAGCUAAAGGGAAAAUAGUUGAAGGCAGUCUUAAAAACUGGAAAUCUUCGGCAGAUGCCUUAAAAUUACUUUUCUUCAUCUCAGGGACUGUCAACAACAGAAGGGUUCUUUCUGUUUCGGCUCAGUACUUCCAGAAGGAUUGGUGUUUGGACUUCUGGUGGGUGCUUCUCCAUGGCCCAUCCCAGCCUGCCAGCUCUUGUGGUUAGAUCUCAGAACCUUGCUCUUAUUUCCUAAACCAGCUUGAGAGGGGAAUGAUGAGAGGCUCAGGUGUCAGCAGACCUGAGGUCUAAUACUGACUCACGACCUUGUUAAUCCUGAGACAUGGGGCUAACCUGAGCUGAUUCAUGUCUUCUUUUCCUCAUCUGAAUAUUUUAUUUAUUCAUCAAACAUCUAUUUUGUGCCAGGCACUGCUUUAGGAACUGAUUAAACAGCAAUGAACAAAAUGGAAUCAUUGUUUUUAUGAGUUUUUAUUCUACUUAGGGGGAGAUAAAUAACAAAUUAAUAGAAGAAAUAAUAUGCCAACUGAUGAUAAGUGUUAUGGAGAACAGUAAAGUAG
rnacentral:lncRNA from 1 species